rnacentral:piRNA from 1 species
UGCUCUAUUCCUCUGGUCCAUUCUUCCAGUC